UGCCAGCGCCGCGGUAAUACGUAGGGCGCGAGCGUUAUCCGGAAUUAUUGGGCGUAAAGAGCUCGUAGGCGGUUUGCCACGUCUGCUGUGAAAGCCCGGGGCUCAACCUCGGGUGUGCAGUGGGUACGGGUAGGCUGGAGUGCAGUAGGGGAGACUGGAAUUCCUGGUGUAGCGGUGAAAUGCGCAGAUAUCAGGAGGAACACCGAUGGCGAAGGCAGGUCUCUGGGCUGUUACUGACGCUGAGGAGCGAAAGCAUGGGGAGCGAACAGG
rnacentral:rRNA from 1 species